GCAGGUGUUUUACUUAAGGGAAGACGCAGAAUCAAGUUGGCAUGUUGUUAUGCAAGUUCCUUCAAGAAGAUAUAAUAAAGAUUUGGAUGAUGGAAUUGCAGACAUUGGACCAUUACCAGCAAAUGUGGACAUGGAUGUUCACAUGGAUGAAUCUGAAAAUGCCCGAACUGAUUGUGAAGGCAUAUUUGUCUGAAAUGGAGUCUGUUUGUCAUUUACAUUGUUGUUGUUUUAUUUGCUAUGUCUGAUGACUACUUGGUGAGUUGACAUGGGACCAAAGAAAGUAACAAACCGUGGAGGGAGAAAAAAGAAGAAAGAUUCUGAAGAGCCAGAAUUCUUGGG